UGGGAGCUCUCCCAUAUGGUCGACCUGCAGGCGGCCGCGAAUUCACUAGUGAUUGGCUCAGGACGAACGCUGGCGGCGUGCUUAACACAUGCAAGUCUACGAGAACGAGGUAGCAAUAUCUUUAGUAAAGUGGCGCACGGGUGCGUAACACGUAAGCAAUCUACCUUUGGGUCUGGAAUAACUUCGAGAAAUCGAGGCUAAUACCAGAUAAUGCAGCGGCAUCGCAUGGUGAUGUUGUUAAAGUUUGAGUAAUGCCUAAAGAUGAGCUUGCGUCUGAUUAGCUAGUUGGUAGGGUAAUGGCCUACCAAGGCAACGAUCAGUAGCUGGUCUGAGAGGAUGAUCAGCCACACUGGAACUGAGACACGGUCCAGACUCCUACGGGAGGCAGCAGUGAGGAAUAUUGGGCAAUGCCCGCAAGGGUGACCCAGCAACGCCGCGUGGAGGAUGAAGGCCGUAAGGUUGUAAACUCCUGUUAGAGGAGAAGAAUAGUAC
rnacentral:rRNA from 1 species